CGAUCCGAUGAGGUUCUAGCCGAGAAUUGAGGAUUGGAGAUGAUGGGAUUCAGAUUGUAGCUGAAUCCUUGUCCGAUUUGGUAUCAGCUGUGAAGAGAUGUCGAGAACGAGAUCUAGAUCUGAGAAGUGAGAAGGGAAAUAAAAGAGACAGGGGAGGGUAGCAGAGCAGAGGAAGAGAGGGAAGGAGACGAGGAAAAAGAAGAGAGAUAGGGGAGAAAUUUGGGAUUUUAUUUCAUAUCCUCCAUUACAAAUUCAGCUUAAUGCUAUUUAUACUUCUAGUCUGAGGAUCAGAAUGUAAUU
rnacentral:lncRNA from 1 species